rnacentral:rRNA from 1 species
UACAGAGGUCUCGAGCGUUGUUCGGAUUCAUUGGGCGUAAAGGGUGCGUAGGCGGCGCGGUAAGUCGGGUGUGAAAUCUUGGAGCUUAACUCCGAAACUGCAUUCGAUACUGCCGUGCUUGAGGACUGGAGAGGAGACUGGAAUUUACGGUGUAGCGGUGAAAUGCGUAGAUAUCGUAAGGAAGACCAGUGGCGAAGGCGGGUCUCUGGACAGUUCCUGACGCUGAGGCACGAAGGUCAGGGGAGCAAAACGGG